UCCAUACACUUCCACUCUUGGUUACUGUGGUAAAGAGGGGAAACAUAUCCACCUGACCCCCGAAUACCUGUUGAAUGACCAGGCCAUCGACAUGUACGGACCCAGAGGUCGUGUAUUGGUGUAUACCUGACCAGUUCUGUGAUGGGGAGUGUUCAGUGAAUUUAACACCCAGGAGCUCUUUCAUAUUUCUGAAUAUAGUGUGAAAGAACCCAUUAGGAGGAAAGAGUUUCUCAGCCAAUGACAAACUGGACUCCAACGCACUGAUGGAUGCAUUCAGUGACAUCACUUCUCAGUCUGGAGAUG